rnacentral:rRNA from 2 species
AUAUUAAUCCGAAAAAUAACAGCUUGUUUGUGUGCUUAUAUUAGGUUAUGCUACGUAAGUAUUUAUGCAUGUAUGCAUUUUUUAGGGUAAUUUAUAAUAUAAAUAAAUAUAUACUUUUUGUGGACAUUGGGGGGUCGUGAAGACUCUAUCAGUGAGUAUUUGUUCUCGGAAGGACUAGAUAUGUAUAUUGAAUAAUCAGACAUAGUACGAUAAGGUUGUAUGUCUAAAGGGAAAUAGCCCAGAACAAGAGUUAAUAAGGUUCCAAAAUUUUUGUUAAGUGAAAUUAAGGCAGUAUUUAUCCCAAUCGGCCAGGGAAUAGGCUUAGAAGCGGCCAUUUUUUGAAGACCUCGUAACAGAGCACUGGUUUUCUCUUUUAUGGAUAAAAGCACCGAAAAUUUAACGGAUCUAAACAAAAUACCGAUACCUUGUCCAUAUAUAUUAAUGUGUAUAUUAUAUAUUGUAUAUAUGGGGUAGCGGAACAUUGGGUAGCUAUUUUUAAUCCUUUAUAAGGAUUAAUUUGUUUAGAGUUUAACUUAUUAUUCUCUGGACUAAACAAGCCCAAGUGAUAAUGCUGACAUGAGUAACGAUAAAGGAUCAACCAGGAUAGAUAGCAUCGCCUGGACAGAUAAUAUCACCAAGACAGAAAAUGUCAGAGAAUCCUCGCCUAAAGCUUAUGGAAUUUAUUAAAGUUACGGCCUCUAAGUUUAUUUUUUUUUCAUAACUUUCAACUAUUUAUAUGUAGAUGUUAAAUAUAUACUAGAUAUAAAUAUGUACUAUUUAUGUAAAUUACCUAGUGGUAUAAACGAUGAGAAAACCUAGAGUUUACAGUAAUUAACGUUUUUUAUUUACGUAGUAACCGAAAUUCCGCUUUUCCCCUUUAAUUAUUAUUUUAAUAAUUUAUUUUUAAAGGGAAAACGGAAGCUGUUUGCUAAUAUUUUAAGUAAAUUAAGUGAAAAAUGUUCUGGAAAACUGUAGGCUCCGUAAGUAAUAUAAAAUAAGUAAACGAAAAAUAUUUUGUAAGCUUACGCUAUA